CAGCACAAUGUCUUGGUCUUCAUGCAUGUAUCUCGUGUAUGCAUGUAACAUGUGGGAGCCCGAUUUCAGAUGAAAGUGCUCCUCUAAGAUGUACAAACGGAUGGUAAAUGCAAAAAUGUGAGCAAGGCAAAAACGUGAGUACCUCCAGCAGCAACAAGUUUUUCUACACGUGCAACGAUGUGCUUUCCAUAGGUGUACUUCUUCAAUGCAUUUAAAUGAACCUUAAUUCGUGAAAGAAUCAGUUCACGCUGCUGAUCAUCACAUGUUUCCAGCACCUUUUGUACAACGUAAUUUGCAAACUGAUCUUUCAUCAUGGCCUGUAUAUGGAGGAAUCUCAUUUAGAAUUUUGCAAAACUGGGAAGAGGAAAGAGUCUCAUCAUGCAACAAACAAUUAUGAAUUUCAGUAAGACAGGUAGUGAGAAUUAGCUAAAGCCUUCACAACACCGACAAAUAACAAUUUUAUUGAAAGAAUUAUUGAGGAGAUAUAGCCUUCUCCCAUAACUGAAACAGUUUGACCAAAGUUCAAGACUGGAAAUGUGAGAAAUUUAUGGUCAAUCACAUGGAGGAGACAUUGGAUAGAAAAGAGUUCUACAGAAGUCGUGAGCUGAGUUCAUGCAAUUGCAUUAGAAAUCAUGAAAAUAACUUCCGAUCACUUAUCAUGGUAUUGAACUUAAAAGUAGGCUACACUGCUCCUAACAGGAUGCAUUAGCGAUUCCUUGUAAUUUUGCAUCAAAUAGUGGUAGAGCCACGUAUAUUAGAAAGAGAAAGUUCAACAAACCUGAAGAGGCUCAUUUUCAUCUGUGGAGCCAAGCAUCUCAUGCACUAGUAAUUGGCGCUCAAGAGGACCUCCAAAGGUCAAACAUUUUUCCACAACAUUGGACGCAAACUUCUGUUGACUCAUUUGAACAAUCUUGCCUGCUAAUUCCUUUAUUAUAGAAGAACGCUCAUGAGGCUUCCCAUGCUCUAGAACAUGCUGUUAUCAAAGAGAAAAGAAAGCAAAAACGUAAAAAUCAACCCACUUAUUUAUUAAACAGUAGCACAUUUUAGAGGUAAAGUAAUAUUAGUCAGUAGGGAGGGACCAUAAGCAUCUAUCAAACGUGAAAGAACCAACCUUGAUGUCAUUUUAAAAGCAUAAAAUGAAUACGGCAGCAAGCUAUAACAUAAAGUAACAGUUUAAAAAAAGGAAUUAAAAUACAAACAAUUGUCACUUAAGUAUUAUAUGAGUUCCAAAGACAUGCACAAUAAACUCAGUUGGAAAUCAUAAAAAAGAAAAAUAAAUUUAGUUGGAAAGUUUCACAGUAUCAUUGGUUGAUAACGAUAACACUGUGUGAAGACUAGAAGCCUGCCAAAAUAGAAGACAUUCACUUUUCAUUGUCAAUUAACAAAUUUGCAGUUAAAAAAUAAACAUAAAGGAGAAUAGUUUCAAAACACAUUGUGACAAGAGGAAUUGUUAGGACAACAGUCAAUCAAGGUCCAAAAAAGAAAACAAUUGCCAUAACUAUUUCUCAGAAAAAGCUUGAUGACAGCCUUGCAGCCAUGCUCAAGUAAACCCAACAAACAUUAUAAAAACACACUUUCACAACUAUGUCAAUAAGCAACACUUUUUAAAAUUGUCUAGUCCGAAAAAUUAUAAACCUGUACAACGUAGUUCCCAUACUGAUCCUGAGCUAACAUGCUAACUGCUCCUAAAAUUUCAUCCAUAACUUUCUGCUGUGUUGUGAGAUCUUCGCAAUGUUCCAGAACUCUCUGUCGUGUUGAACUCAAUAUUAUGAGACAAAUGAUCUUUGGUAACGUAAUAAGAGUGGACAUAACCAGUGAAGAUACCUUACCUGUAUAACCCGGCAACCAUAUGGAUGGGUUGAGAGGGUCACAACUUGAUCAAAAAAUGUUGAGACAAUAAAAUUGAUUGCAUCUUCAGGGACACAUUCAAUACAUUUCUGAAUGACAUGAUUACCGUUUUGAUCACGUACACAGCGCAUGACAUUACCAUCAAGCUCUAGCACCAUCUCUAUCUUCUGAUCUAGAUCAACAACUUCGAUGGCCUAAAGUGGUAUAAAAAAUUGAAGCACAAAAGAAAAUUGAUAACAUGCUCAGAAUAUUAAAUAGGCAGCAAAACAUAUAUACCCAUCAACUAAUGCCAUCUGAUAUUGCACAUACCUUCUGGAUGACCCGGCAACCAUACAUUUGAAGGCUAAGUGUCAGCACAUGGCCAAGAAGUUUGUUGGCCAACUCUCUUCUCUGGGCUGCAAGUCCAUGCUCAAAAAACUACAAUAUACCAUAUAACAUUACCAACUAUUGCUCAAACAAGAUUCAUGAAAGAAAAUAUUAAAUUAGGAGUAAUUACCUUUUGAACCACAUAAUUACCAAAGACAUCAGUCAUCAAAGCAAGGGCAUGUGGCAUGAUUUCCUGAUAAACCAUGUUCUUUUCUUCUGUAGAGGCCGUUUCAAGCUUUUGUUGAAUAAAUCGGCUCCCAUAUUGAUCCGCACUGCCAAUGAUCAUAAAUUAAUCAAAAUUGUUUUGUCAGGAUGGCAAAAAAAUAAUCCAUAAGAUCAAUAGGAAAAAAAUACCUGAAUUCAACAACAUGACCAGCAAUUUCAGAAAGCUCAAAACACUUUGUUUUAUUGCCUUUAAACUCCUCCAACAGAGAAGAAGCAAAGCUUUCAUCAAUGUUCCCAGUAUCUACAUGCCAAGGUCCCAUUACCCCAGCUAAAUUCCUCAUUCCAGAAGCAAAACGCAUAUUCAGUUCAUUGUGCCUAACAGGACUUCCAGAUCCUACAGGGGUGGUGGAUACAACAGAGUUUGCCAUUGGACUUCCUGGAUAAGACAGCCCAACACCAUAAGCAGGAUUUCCAUAAUAAUUAUGAGGAGUGGAGCUGCCUGAUUUACCACCCAGUGGUACAUUGUAUUGAGAUUUCUGAGGUGAGAGCAUAGACCCAAGAUAAGCUUUCUGGAGCUCAAGUAAACUCAUGUACGAAUUGCCCAAGUAGUUCCUGUCGACAGAGGGGUCACUAAGAGCACCAAGUUGUGCUGCAUACUCAGAUGUCCUCAGGUACUGAAGAUACAUAGGAUCAACAAAAGGGGCCUGAAGAGCACUACCCGGAAUUUGAUUUCCCAUCCUACCAAGAUUAUGCACAUCAGAUGGAGCAGCAGCACGAGAUGCCAAACCACCUCCAAGAAUUCUUGAAUCCAUUCCAGGGGCUGCUAUUGCAGAUGCUGCAGCAACAUUUUCAAACAAGGGUGGAAGAUUACCAGUGCCAAGUUGGUUAGUCAUCAAGGAUGCCAAUGCUGGAUUCCCGGCGUACCCACUCAGAUCAUAGUUAGUAUACGAUGAAUUUGAACCAUCUAUAGUCUGGUACUGAGGUGGGAAAUUACCUCCUCUAAUAAAAUGGGAGGUAGGAGAUGUUUUGAAAUAUGGAUUAUUGGAAGGAACAUUAGACUUUUGUAGCUCAACCUGCCGAUCCAAGGAUGCAUUACUAAGAUCAGAACCAUCCCUGCUCUUACUUGAGUUUUGCAAGUGAGCUGAUUCAGAUUUCUUUAAAUAAGCAUGUUGCUUCCCGUGAUCUUGACCACCUUGCCUACCAAAAUGAUAUCUCUGGUGAUUAUCAACAUCUGAUUCAACCUGUGAUGGCAAACGGUUAUCACUAUCUAAUAUGUCAUCUGCAGACAAGUUCAUCACUGACAAUGCUGCCACAAGAUCUGAUGACUCAUUGAUGCCAGAUGAAACACUAUUAAAUCCAUCUGGACUCGCAAUAAUUCUCUUGUCAGAAGGUGUAGCUCUGCCACCACCAAUAGGUGUGAUGCAGGGACUGGGAGCCCUAGCAACAAGCUGUGGAUCAGGAGUAGUGCUUCUUGACAUGGAAGAUCCAACCGCAGCAGCAUAAGAAUAUGAAGCUGGCAAGCCAGUAUUUUGGGAUACAGAUGAUCCUUGAAUAUUUGAUCCUGACCUCAGUGCAUCAGUUGUUGUGGACUCACGGCGCACAUGAGCUAACUCUGCUUCAGCAGAACUAAUGAUAUCAUUGUCAUCAAAUGCAUUUCGACUGGCUGGACGAGAAGGAGGGCCUGUGACAGAGGUAUUACGUACCAAAUCAUCCUGCACAAUUACUGUUUGUAAAUGACGAGCAGAAGAAAAAAGGAUAUGAAAAAAAAAAGCCCAAGAAAGAUAUCAAAGAAAAAAUAAUAUAAAUUCACUACAGAAAUGUCAACAAUUGAUAUUAUCAAGAAAAACAGAUAUUGCUACAUAAAAUCUUUUAAAAUUUAAAGGCAUACAAAUAAUUAUCUGAAUAUACAAUAUAUUCUAAGUUAUACCAAAAAUCACAGACUUCAAGAUCAAAAUCAACACGAGUCACUUCAAUACUCGGGUAAUAUAUUGAUUUUUCAAAAUUAACGGGUGUAAGCCAAGACAAGCUUGAGGAAGAAAAUGUAACUGGUGCAGAAGCAUGAAGCAUUGUUGACGACAGUAUGUCAGAGAAAAGAAGGGCUCACAAGAGCAAGAAAGACUCUCCACAAAUUUGGUUGAAACAGAAACAGAAAUAGGUAGUGCAGUUACAUAAGGUGUUCGUGUACUUUAGAAGAUUUGCUGAACUAACAGGCUGAUGGGCAUGAAUCCGUUAUAACGGAAAAUCUAGCAGUCACUUCGAUUAAAACACUAUAUUUAAUAUAUUUUAUACAAUAAAUUAAAUUUUAAUAGCAAUGAUGUGACAUCAUGUGAUCAACUGACUGGAGACUGUAAAGUAUCUCAACCCCAGACAUGCUACAGUUGACAAUAUAGUACUACAGUUUACAGUGCAGACAGAGAUACACUAUGUAUGCACUACAGUAUGCAUUAUAGCAUACAUGUAUUGUAUGAUGCAUAGCUGAAAUUACAAAACUAGACACAAAUGUGGUUAAUGAGCCUAAUAAAAUUUUAUGGUAAAAGCAACAAGUCAACCAGAUGUAACUAAACAAUCAGUAUAAAUACUUAGAACCAGUAUAAAACUAAAAGGAUAACAACUAGAGGACACUGAUAAAGGAUUGGCAGAACUCUAAUGACACUUUUUUUAUGAAUUCACAAAGUGUUAUGCUGUCAUCUUCCAUCACGAUGAGCACUAUAACUAACAAUAUAGGAACCGAAAUUCAACGACUGACGCAUGUCAUCAUUUAGCAUUCCCUUAAUCAAACUUGGCUACCCUCAAGAAUUACAAUCAUUAAUCAGAACUUUUGAACAAUACCACACAUCAGAAUAUAAAAAAUUUAUACUCAGCAUAUACUACCAGAGAUCAUACCCAACCUCACAACAUAUGCAUCAUCAAUUAAUCACAUGUCAGAGAUAACACAUAACACCAAAUUACAAAAUCCAGGAAAAAUACAAACAGAUGCAACACGGGAUCAAUUAGUCAACCAAUGACAGAAGAAGCAAGCCACCUGGAAAAUUUCUGCAAAACUCUUCUGUUUGCUCAGCCCUAUUCCGGGCAAGCCAAUCAGUCCAUCACCACCCCACUCCGCAGCACCUCUUGUUUUUUCAUUAUCCACUUCACUCUCUUGUUUCCUCAUGUUAAAACCCGGUGGAGUAGAAAAGAAGGAUCUACCACCAAUAUCGUCAGCCCUGUUCACUUUCCUCCUAUCUCCAAUUCCACCCAGAACUGAAACACCACCUUUAAGUCUUUGUUGAAACCUCCAAUCCUCCUUUGACAGCAAAGGAGGUGGCAGCCUAGGAUUCAAAUUCACAUUGGAGUAAUAGUAUGAAAGAUAAGCUGGAUCAGACCUUAGUUCCUCCUCGGAAGCAAUCCCAUUCACAUCCGUAGUCCCAUGAAACUCCGAAAAGGCACCAGCAUCACCACCACCAGCACCGGCAACAGCACCGCCACCAAACAACCCUCCUACAGCACUUAAAGAACCCUCCACAGUUGGAGGCGCUGAUCCACUCCUAAAAAUAUUAAGCUCUCUCUCACGAUCAUCAGCCUCUUGUCGGCGUUGCUCACGAAGCAACAUCCCUAUCUCCUUCUCCAGUUCAUCUCCAAAAGAACCCUCGUUACUCCCAAGCAUCGGUCUUCUUUCCAAUUCAGACAACAUUUUUUCAAAGUCCCAAUCUGAUCAUCAACCUCAUCAUAUAGCUAAACUAUAACACCACCCACCACCAUAAAUCAAACCCUAACCUAAACAAACCCAAAAGCUCAAACGUUUUCCACCGCAUAACGUAAGCCGCCACGCUCCAUAUUAACAACUUCACAAAAUUAUAACUGGCAGUUACCGGAAGGAAUUGAAAAACAAAACAAAAAAAUUCAAGCUUUCUGUAAAAACUGCACCGAAGCCAACUCCGCAGCUGAAACCCAAUAAUCAAACACAAAACCAAACUGCAAAAUUCACUCUAUGUUCCCCAGAAUUAGUUUCCAUAAUUAUAAAGAAAUUCCUAGAAGAACAUGAUUCCCCAGAGGUUAGUAUAUACAGAACAAUAAAAUAAAGGUGUGAAAGAACAGGAGAGAAGAAGGAGUGAGGGAUGGUGCAGUGAGAUCAAAAAAAAGAAACAGUGAGAGAAAUCAAUCUGGCGGCGAUUGGUUCUUACAAGAACCCUUAGGGUUUUGUUCCAUUUAGAGGAGGAUUAAAUACAGUUGAUGGUAGGAAGCAAACCAAACUAAACAUAUUGGGUUUCUAUUUUUCCUUUUUUGUUUUUGUAUUUUAGGUUAAAAAGAGUUCCCAUUUAUUUGUUUAAUCUCAUAAAUAUCCUGAAUAUAUUUGAUGUAUUUCCUAAACAUUAGGGGUAAUUGACCAAGUGAUAACCGACUAAUGCCAUUGCCAAGGAAAGAGAAAUGCCUUAUAUUUAUUUGUUUAUUGGGUUCUCUUCCAAACCAGAACCUGUCACCGACUCACACUUCCCUCUGUUACAUUCUCUACAUCACCAAAACAUAUCCCAAACUACACUAAAUUUCUCACCACUUUACCCUAUUUCUUCACUUCAGUUAAACUCUUAUCAUAUAUCUCUGUUACUGUUACUUACUGAGAGUACUAUCAUCAUUCUAAUUUUCACAUUGUUUCUUUUAACACUGCACAUGUCAAAUCUGUUCCUCCUCUUUCCUACUUUACAUGCAGCAACUACACUCUUUGGUUUCUAAGUAUGUUUGAGUCUUUCCACUAGUAACUCCAGUUAUUAGUUUAUCAGAGACUUUUGUUCAAUUCAUGUAUAAGUACUGUGUUCAGUAACCUAGUGUACAUCAAAACAGAGGUUACUAAAAGUAGCUUUUGUAUUUUUUCCUAUGUUAUCAAAAUGUUACUUUGUUUUUGUUUUUGUUUUGCCUAUGUUAUUGCACACAGGUUGUUUGAGUUAGGGUUACUGGACUCUUGGGUUUGUUAUUUCUGUAGUGCAGUUUGAAGAAAUGUUUUAGAAUUAGAUGAAAACAUUAUUUUUUACAGAUGGAAAAAAAGGAACCUGUUAGGUAAGUUUAUUUUGAGGUGUGUUUUAAGAACAUGUAAAAUUAUAUAAUUGAUAGAAAAUUCAAUUCAUUGUAUUUUUUCUCUUCGUCAUGAUUUUAAGAAACCAAAGGAAGGGACAUAUGAAUAGAGAGGACAGAUAAAAUAAUUAGUUCAACAACAUCAGUUUUACCUCAUUUGAUAAGUUUAUAAAAAAAUGUAAUUUUAACUACCCAAUUCUUAAGUUAUAAAUACUUGAUUGGAAAAUUUGAUUUGAUAUAAAAUAAAUAAAAAACAUUAAAUAAAUUAUAUUUUUUUAAAUAUAUGUAAGAUAAAUUUGAUAAAAAAAAUCGUACUGACUAGUUAUCUAAAUUAAAUUUAAAUAGAAUUUUUUCAAUUCCAAAUAUAAUUAAAUUGAAAAUAAUUUUUGGAAAGAAACUACAGGGAAGGUCCAGUUUUUAUUUUCUCUUAACAUUCGACUUUUAUUGUUGUUCACAUUGUCUCUAGUUUAUUUAUUAUAAAUAAUGUGAAGAUUUAUUCACGUAAAUAAAAAAAAUUAAAUUUUAAAUGAGCCAACUAAAUUUUACAUUUCUAUAAUUUUCUUACCCUGUAAAAUAAUAUAUUAAUACAUUUUUAUUUAGCGAGCCAUAAAAAGGGCAUCUGAUAAAGACCUUGUUCUUAAAAUAUAUUAACAUACUUAAAAUAAUGUGUUAUAAGAAUAAAAAAAUAUUUUUAUGUAUAAAAAACAAAUAAAAUAAAAUAAAAUAGUAAUUAAAAUGUAGAUUUUGUAAAUAAAUCUCUAUUACGGAGAUUUCUUAAUAAUAUUUGAUAGUCUUGAAGAUUUAAAAAUUACAAAUAUAAAAAAUAUUAUCGUGCAAAUUUAUAAACAUUUAAUAUGUUUACAAAUUUAAACAUUUGUAUUACACACACCUAAAAAACUACUGAGUAUCUAACAAUUACACACAUAAAACAAUUUAGUGAAAAUGUAAAAUUUAUAAGUUUCUAAAAUUAAACACUUUUUUUACUAAAUCGGUAAAUUCCAAUUUAUUCUAAUUGAAUUUCAUGUAGAGAGUAUACAUAUUUGCUAUUAAUUUUUUUUUACAAAAGUUCAUACAAAUUAAAUUAAGACCUGACUGUCGAUAGUUUUAAGCAUAAUACACGUAGAAAAUAAUUAUUAUGCAAUUUAUGAAUAAAUGUUUAAUAUAUGUGUUUAUAAACCCAAUUCAAUUUCAAAAUAUAAAAAUUCAUCACCGUGGUGUUACAGUUGUGAACUUGUGAUUGAGUUUGGCCCCUGCAAUGCAACUACAGUCGAGUUCCCUGCAUCUGUAAGGUUAGUUCAACUUUUUAAUUUAUUAUAUUUCAUAUUUUAAAAUUAGUACUUUAUUUAAAAUUUAAAAUAUGUAUGAAAAUGUUGGAAUUAAUUUUAUUUAAAUUAAGGUAAAUUAAAAUUAAAAAAGUAAGGUUAAAAUGAAUAAUGAAAAUUUAUUUCAAAUAUGGAUGAUAUUUAUGUUGAUUUUAUAUUCUUAUUAUAUAUUAAUAUUAGGUUUGAGGAUGUCCGACGUUUCAUAGACUAUUUUUUUCUGCAUCUUCAUAACUUGAAAAAUACUUUUUUAGUCUUCUUGUGCCACCUUCAUAGAGUAGCUUUCGAAUAAUGUAAUUCGGAUACACAUUUAAAAAAAGACUUUCAAAUUAUGUUAUUUGUAAGCUAAAAAGGAUUUCCAGAUUAUAUAAUCCAGAAACUAAUCAUGCACAUGAAAAAAACCUUCGGAUUAUGUAAUCCGGAAGCUAAUUACAAAUUUGAAAAUAAACUUCCAGAUUAUAUAAUCCAAAAUAUUACAAAUAAUACUUUUGAAAAUAUAAAAAUAUAUGGAGGUUGAAGAAUAAACAGUCUGUUUCAUAACGUGUAAUGUUUAGUAUUAGAUUUGAGAAUGGUCGACCUUUCCUAAUGUAUAUUGUUUAAUUUUAGAAGUUAUUUUUUAAAUGUUGUGUCGUAAUUGUUCUGUGUCAUAUAUUGAGUGAAUCUUGAAUUUUUACUUGAGAUUUAGUAUAAAGAUAGAAUAAUGUUUUUAAUUUAAAUUAUUCGGUAUAUUUUUAUUUAAAAAAAAAUAGUCAGUAAUUAAUAUAUUGAGUUUGAAUUGUCCGGAUAUAUUGGAAAAAUUAAACAUUUUUUUUUAUAGUUUAGUAGUAUGUAUAUUUAAAUCAUAUUACAUAUAUUUUAUGAAUUUUUUAUUAAUUGCAUUUUGUAUUGAUUUUAUGAUGCAUAUAUUUAAUUAUAGUGAUUUAAGGUUGUCAAUUUUAUUUUGUUAACCUAAAUAACAAUACAAAAUGUUGUCUAAUGAAGCAAUAUUGGUUAAAGUUUAUGUACUAAUGAAGUAUAAAAAAAAAAAUUUUGUUAUCACACAUUGCUUUCAAAAACAAUACCUAUUUAUGCAUAAACCAAUUUCUUCUCUUACGUAGUAAUUAAUUAAAUUAAAGUUAGAUAAAUGUAAGUGGAAUAAGUAAGUUGUAUGAGAAUAGCAUUGAAGAGUUUAUAACAAAAUGUAAGAUGUGAAUGAAAUAUAUUAUUAUACAUGUAUUAAUUGUUUAAUGGAAGACGUUUAUAAAUUCACUUGAUACCAAAACAUUUUUUUUAUGAUGGUUUUUAAGAAGUUAUAUGACAUAGUGAAUUUCUAUAGGGAAUUUAUAGACCUCCUAAUUGUAUCUCAAUCUUAACAAUAAUAAUGUAUUAAAUUUUAUUAUUUUUAGACAAGUUAAGUUAUUAGUAAAUCUGAAUAAAUAUAGAAAUUUAUUUCAUUGGUAAUUUGAUAUGUCUUUUUUAUUUAUAGUCAGAAAAAAAAAACAAAUACAAUAAAAUUGUUUAAAAAGAUUGAACAUGUAGAGCUGAUAUCUUAAUGGAUAUAAUAACAUCAAUUCACAUCACUUAAAACAAUAACAUAUACAAAAAUAACAUACAAAUUCACUCAUAAAUAUUUAUGUAGCACAGACACUGACACUAAUACGAUACGGAGAUACGUAAAAUCUCUAAAAUGUAGGAUACGGGGACACGGAUCUAUAUAUUAUAUAAUUAUGAAUUAUAUAAAUUGACAAUAAAAAUUUAUGUGUACAAGUAUGUUCCAGAUUAUUUUUUGGAGCGGAAAUAUGUUUUUCAUGACUGGUUCAUAAUGAUUUGUUUAUUAGUUUUAUAAUCAUAAUAAUAAUUUAUAAAAAAAUUGAAUUUUAAAAAAAUUAAUGUAUUCUUUCUUUUUAAAAUUGUGUUAAAAAUGUACUAGAACUGUCAGAAAUUUAACAAAUACUUUUUAAAUUUGACAUUUCACGGAUACGUGAGUGUCGAUGUCCGACACGAGUAUCGAACACCGACACGCCAUUUAAUCCAAUCGGAUAUAACAUCAGUUUAUAUAUUACAUACCAACUAAUACUCACAAAAAUAAACUAUGUAUCCUUUUAGAGUGUCACUACAAAAGUGUUUGUUAUUAAAAAAAUAUUAUAUCAGUAAAUCAUAACAUGUUUUAAUAGGAAUUAUGAGAGUCUUUUAUUAAACAAAGCUAAAUUUGGUUUGGUAGGUAAAACAUAUUUUAAAAAUAUUUAUAUACUUUCUUUAGAAAAAAAAUUGUUAUUUUAUAAUAUUUUUAAUUUGUUACUACAUUAUAGAUUUAUUUCGAGAAACUGUGUUUAUAAACAUUUAUAGAAGAAAAAAAUUAAGAGAAGAAGUGAAAUAACUUGUCUUAUCAGCUAAACUUAGCUUAUAUUUAAUGCUAUGAUUUAUUUAAUAUUAAUUUUUCCAAAUUUCGAUUUUUAACUGAUGUUUUAAACUUAUAUUAACUUAAAAACUAAAUGUUUUCUUUCUUCGUAUUUUUUAUUCUAAGAGUAAUUAUUGAGAAACUUCCCCUAGAAAAUUUAAAAUAUUUGGUUAGUCACACAUGAAAAUGAUUGAGUGAUGAUAUUUUUAUAUUUUUACAAUUAAAGAUUUUCAUUUGUAUUUUUAACACUAAAAAAAAUUAUGAAAUAGAAACAAAUUUUAGAAAAAAAAAAUGUUGUUAUACUGACUAAAUUAGAUACUAUUUUUUAGACUAAAAAAUAUUAAUUUUUAAUUAAUUUCUAUUAUUGAUAAAUAAUUUUUAAAUUUGUAUCUAAUUAGCUACAAAAAUUUUAAAUUUGGUAGAAAAACCUUGAUAGACAAUUAGAGACCAAUUUAAAAACUAUUUAUCAAUAAUAGAAACAAAUUUAGAAAUUAAUAAAAAAAUUAAUCUCUAAAAUAAUAUAUAAUUUAAUCAACAUAACAACCAAUUAUUUUUUUUUUAAAAUUGAUUUCUGUUUAAUGAUUUUCUAGUAGUGUAAUUAACCAUACUUUUCACUAAAAAAAUUAUUAAAUAAUAAUUAAAUUUAGAUUAUUAAACAAUAAUUAAAUUUUUAAAAAAUAAUAAUUAAUCACUAUAUUAACCAAAUUAGAUAAUUUAGAGAUUAAAAAAAUUAUUAGUAGUUAAAGUGAUUUCUAUUAUUCGUAAAAAUUUAUAAAAUAAUUUUUAAAUUGAUAGUUAAAUUAGCUAUCCAAUUCUAAAUUCUUUAAUAAUUUAAUAAAAAAAUUAAAUUAUAAAUUAAUUAAUAGUUAAAUUUUGGUAAGUAAUGAUUAGAUAUUAAUUUAUAAAUUAUUUUAUAAAUUCUUCUUAAAUAUUAAUAUUUUUUUAAUUUAUUAAAAUAUAUUAAUUAAUUAUUUUGAUCAAUAAAAUUAUUUUUUAUUUAAUAAUGUUCUUAUAUUUAAUAUUUAGUAUUUAUUUGUGUUCAACAUUUAUAAAACUACUUUAAAACACAAAAGAGAUGAGGGUACACCAGGCUCAAUAUUUUUUAUUUGUUUGUUUAUACUACUAAAAAUAUGUUUAUUUUUUAGUUAAUCCACCGAGUUUAAUUAACCACAACUAAAAUACAUAAUUAUUCCUUCAAAAAUCAUUAUUAACAUUUUCAAGUAUUCUUUUCAAACUGUUUUUUUAAAACCUCUUUAGGUUUUUAACGUACUCCCCAAUUAAUCCUUCAAAAAUUAUUAUUAACUUUCUUUAAGUAUUUUUUCAAUUGUUUAUUAGUAAACCUUUUUAGGUUUCCAACGCACUCCCCAAGAUAAAAGAGUUUUAUUAGUCUAUUGAUGGACUUUGAUGGCAUUGAACUAUUCUCUUUUAUGAUUUUUGGGUGGUUUGCGAAAGCUUAAUGGUUUAUUGAUGGAUCAAGGCCCUCCUAGGAGGUGUGGCUGCCUUGGAGGUGCAUGAGAAUAGGGAAAUUGAGGAAGAUUCGGCCAACCCCUUUUGGUAGGUGAAAGGAUUGAAGAUUAAGACCUAAAUCUUAGGCAAGGGAGUAAAGUAUGACUCAAGUUUGGCAGCAUAAUAAUACUCAAUUUAAUCUUACAAAAUGAGAGUCAAGCACCUCCUUAUAUAGGAUUGGAGGGCUGAAAUUUGAAGAGGCAAAUACAAAUGAAAUGCUAGCCAAAUUACAUAUAAGUGUAAGCACAUGGAGCACAUGGCCACCUAGCCUUCACAUGGCCGGCCUAGAUUAGUGUGGUAGGUUCUAGAAACCAUAACUAAUCUAGGUAAUCCAAACUUAAUCCUAAUUUGCACAAUUAAACAAGGUUCACAAUGCUAUGCUAUUUGCACCACAAAUAAAACUAUGCUAACGCUUGAUGGGCCUUCUUGGAACAUCAACUCUCUUGAUCAUGGAUCUUGUUGUCCUAGACGCUCUUGUGGGUACCCUUCAUGUAAGGUUGGUCAUAGACGCUCUUUUGGUUGUUUUUCAUGCAAGGUUACGCUCUUGUGGUUGCCCUUCAUACAAGAUUGGUCCUAGACGCUUUCCAUCAGACUUAGUGACAUUUUUCUUUUUUUUCUUUUUCAAAGGAUUAGCUUCAUAGUAUAAAUAAUUUCUUAUAUAUCUUUAAAGAUUUAUUAUCUUCAAUGUACAAGUUCUAUGAAAUAGACAUUUGGGUUCUUGUAAGUUAUUCCAUUUUUAUUAUUAGAAUUCCAUUAAUAAUUUUUUUGUGAUGCUUAAAUUACAUUUAAUAUAUUUUAUAAUUAUAUCUCUUCGACAAGAUAAAACAAAUUGUUUAUCUUAUUAAAAUGGGUAGGAAAACCAUAAAUGUAUGACUUAUAAGAGGAGUUGACAUAAUAUAUAUUUCAUCUACUUUUAUUCUCAUUUUUAAAUUACUUAGAUUAAGAGUUUGACAUUCAUCUUCCUUUACUAAUCCUUCCUCACAAAAACAUAGUAAAGUAAAAGAAAAAAGAAAAAUCAAAGUCACAACAAUUACUUCACAUCAUAAAAUCGAGAGAUGAUAAUUUUUUUAUAAAUUUACACAAACUAUAUGUUAGAUGAACCACGUGUUUAGAUACUUCAAGAUUUAAUUUAUGUUACAAAUGUCGAAUGAAGAUUGAGAUUAGAAUUUUUGAAGUAUCAACAUAUCUUAACAAAUAAAACAUUAAGUGUACAUUAGAAAAUGCUUCACGCCAAACCUACUCACACACUGUGUUCACACCCGUGUAUAGGACCAAGUCUACUAUAAAACUCGACCUCAAAGUCAAUGAAAGGACUCAGAAUUUUAAAACAAAAACUGAAGGCCAUGUUUUAAAUGCAACAUUUUUCAAUUAAGAAUAAAACUUCUUUUACCAACGCAGCAAAAACUCAAACCAGCAUCAAACCUUUAUUUUAAUAGAAAUUUACACCCAAAUGACAUUAGGCAACACAUAGAUUUUAUCUAAUGAUUUAAAAAGGAGCUGUAAAAUGGUGCAUGAUUUGCACCAGGAACGUUGAAACGCAGUACGUUAAAAGAGCCUUUAAAAAUACUUCUUCAAUCACUUUAUAUCCUUCUUUUCCAUAUGUUUGUCCUACUUUUGGAGAACCUUUAUGAUUUUUGACUUGAUUGAAUAAAAAGAUGGAGAGUGAGGAGUUAUUAUCGGUAUCACAGGAGAAAAGGUAAAGGUAAAGGUAAAUUUGCCACAAAAAUUAUACUCUUGAAAGGGGAAAGAAAGUCAAUAACCAUACAUGACCAAAAUAGAAGAAAAAAAAAGGUGUCCUCGUCUACACAAGAACGUCUCGACAUGGCAUCAUUUUGUACAGUCACGUCCACUUAGAAACUACCUCACCAUUUUAUAAUCUUUACACCAUAAAAAGGCUUGUAUAGUCAUAUUUCAUUUUAUCUCCUCUGCAGGGGCCUCAGGUGCAUUAAAACAUCUGUUCAGCCUCUUCUCGCUUAAAUUCUUUGUAUAAACUUAAAGCUACAAAAUGUACAGUUCUGCAGUACAACCGACAACUUUAUUUCCAACUGGCUACAACCCCCAUCUUCACAGACAGGAAUCAUAACCUCUUCAUUUGGAAAAAGGAAGAAGAAGAAGAAGCAGCAGCAGCUCACACUAGCCUCAGUUAGCUGUACAAUAUUAUUUUUCUAAGCCACCUAAGCAGGUUGGGGAGACUGAGCAGCAAUUCUCCUUUCUGCAACAAAUCAUACACAACCUUUCAGAAACCGUGCAAUACCACAACACAUCAUAAAAAUAGCCUUCAUAUAUUAAACCAGCACAAUGUCUUGGUCUUCAUGCAUGUAUCUCUUGUAUGCAUUUAACAUGUGGGAGCACAAAGUGCUCCUCUAACACGCACGAAUGGAUGUUAAUAACAAAAAUGUGAGUACCUCCAGCAGCAACAAGUUUUUCUACACGUGCAACGAUAUGCUUUCCAUAGGUGUACUUCUUCAAUGCAUUUAAAUGAACCUUAAUUCGUGAAAGAAUCAGUUCACGCUGCUGAUCAUCACAUGUUUCCAGCACCUUUUGUACAACGUAAUUUGCAAACUGAUCUUUCAUCAUGGCCUGUAUAUAGAGGAAUCUCAUUUAGAAUUUUGCAAAACUGGGAAGAGGAAAGAGUCUCAUCAUGCAACAAACCAUUAUGAAUUUCAGUAAGACAGGUAGUGAGAAUUAGCUAAAGCCUUCACAACACCGACAAAAUAACAAUUUUAUUGAAAGAAUUAUUGAGGAGAUAUAGCAUGCCUUCUCCCAUAACUGAAACAGUUAUGUGACCAGACUGGAGAUGGAAAAUUUGUUAUGGUCAAUUACAUGAAGGAGAUGUUCAAUCAAAAGAAGAAGUCCACUCAUUGUUUAUUGAAUUGGGUACAGGAUUUUGGUGAUGAACCCAACCACACCCAUCCAUUAAUUUAAACAUUUU
rnacentral:lncRNA from 1 species